CGCAAAAAAAAAAAAAAAAAAAAAAAAAAAAAAAAAAAAA
rnacentral:ribozyme from 13 species